UUUCAAAUAGCAAUUUCUGUUUGAAAAAAAAAUCCUCCUCCUUCGUUCCAUACAAACUAAAAUGUAAGAGGGUUCAGUCCUCAAAAAUCUAAAAAAAAUCAUAGAUUUGGAUAAGGAAGAGGAAAUGACUAUCACAGGAUCGAUGAAAGCGGCGUAUUGUGCUGUUGUAGUGAACUGCUCAGUAAGGUUUCUGGGUGUGACAGUGGUGGAGCAAAGCAAGUAUUUUGGAGCCAUGGAGAGGAUUUAGAGGGGCGAAAUCUGAAAUUUAGUUGAAAGUGAGGAACUACUUAUCUAAAGGGAUGAAUUAGAGAUUGUGAUUUGGGAUGUUGAUGUGUUAAAGAAACUGUUGGAGAAGAAUACUCAAAACUACGCGUUGCUAAUGGUUAAGGCUUAUUUAGAAGAUGCGUAGGCUAGCAUGGGAUCCACUUUUUUAGAAUUAUCAGUCAGGUAAAUUAAGCACUUGAAGGAGCAAGAAUCCGAUAAAGUUGAAGGAGAGCUGUUGUAGUUAAAGAGAAAAGCAAAGGUAUUUUUUUAAAAACAUUUUGUCGUAUUUUUUAUUUUUGAGAAACAUAAUGUGAUUUUGCAUGCUUUUAUAGUUAAUUUUUGGUUCCUAAGUGUCGAUUUGGGGCCGCUGUAAGGGGACCUUAAUUUGGAUGUAUUUUGCUGAGGUAAAGGCUUUCAAUUAACAUAGUUAUUCUAUGUAUGUAUCAGUGGUUAAUGCUUUAAUUGAGGUUAAAAGGAGGGGAAAGAAAAAAGACAAAACACAUGGGCUGUGAUUUCUGAAGAAAUAUGUUUCUUUGGAAAGUUAUUUUUAUUGAGAAAGCACUUAGAGAGAAUCCUGAAUAGGUUCUUCUCCAAAAUAUUCUUUUAGGUAUUUUCGAUGGAAGGGCUUUUAACUCCAAUAUGUGCAGUUAGUGUUCUUAUACUUAUGGUAUGUUUGAAAAUACAGCAGUGAAAGUGUUUGGUAAAACAUCCAUUUUUACAUGGUAGCUUGUGUUUAUCACUAUGCCGCCCACUAAUACUUGAUAUCAAGUGAUUCUAUCUCAUAGUGGCACUGUGGAUUAAAAGUCACAUCUCAAUAUCAAACUUACUCUAGGGAACAAACUCACAUUGCAUUCAGGUUUGUAUUUUGUCGUAUUUCCUAAAUUUUUGCCACUUUCACUUCUAAGCUUUUGACAUUUUGAAAUAAAAAGCUUUAACAGCACGUAAUUUUGAUAGUGAUCAUUUCAGCACUUAAUGUUAUAAUGUUUAUUGUUUAUAUAGUUGUUGUUACAACUAAGCAUACAUGCUUUGUUUUAG
rnacentral:lncRNA from 1 species